CGAACAAGUACAUUUUUAAGUAUGAUUAAAUGGAUUCUAAAUAAAAUAUGAACUAAAUCAGAGCUACAACCAUUCUGUUAAUGAGUAAUUAACAAUUUCCAACAAACCUAAACAAUCCAAACCAAGCAAUGACACAGGGAUCUUGUAAAUAAUAAUAACAGAUCCCAACAAGCUUAAGCAACUCAACUCUAUUACAACACAUUACGACACGCAAGUCAAAAGUUCCUUAAGUAUGAAAUCUCAAGCGGACCCACACACGUUUGCAGACCAAAACAAUGAUAAUAAUAAUAAUAAUAUCAGCUCAGAUCAGAUCAGACAUUCUUCUUCUAUGGCGACUGAGUGUAGUUCUCAAGUUUGGAUCAGAUGAAGUAACCAUCUUGCUUCCUGGCAAGACGGGUGUCUUCAAAUCAGAGCUAUUGCAUUUGAAACUCUUUCUGAGGAUGGUUUUUGUCUCACCAAACCGGGACUUCUUGUUUGAAUCCCGUAAAAUUGGUUUGAGACGAAGAUCUGAACAACUGAGGGACUGAGAACCAAAAAAUUGGACUGAACUUCUUGCCACUGGCCUCAAACUUCUCGCUUUUCUAGCAAUCUCCUUCUCAGCAGCAUUUUGCCUUUGGCGACUAGCUACCGUAGAAGUCAUGAAUCUAGGGAGAGAACUCCUAUCUCCAUUUUCAGUAAUUAAAGGAGAACCAUUUACAGUCAUACUCUCUUCUUUGUCACUCACAGGUGUCUUUUCCUUGUCUUCAGGAAGUUGGUAAUUCGUUAAUAAAAGUUUUUUGUUUUCACUUAAUAGGAACUCAGCCUUCUGUAUUUGAUUCCUAGCAUUUUGGCAUUCUUCUUCAGCUUCUCUCAUUUCUUCUUCAAGCUCCAGAAUCCUUUUCUGCCUUAGUUUGAUCAUUUCCUCUGGCAGUUCUCCAUUAAUUUCAAUAGCUCUUGCUCUAUUUGCAAAGCUUAAGGAGCAUACUGUCUCUCCAACAUCAUCUUCACAAGGGCUUACAUGCACUAGCAUUAAAACCUUUGAACUGUCACCUGAAGCAAUUGCAUUUAGAAAUAUUAGGCAUUUUUUAAGUUGUCAGCAGAGUGCAGUAGCAAUCACAGAAGUAAUAUAUUAGGAAACCACACAGAAAUGGCUCUUAAUUUUGCUGACAAUGUCAUCGUAAGCUAUUAGAGUCAUAACAAUGCAUAUGCGUUGAGUUUAAUUAUUGUCACUUCUUGUAUUCAUUCACAGGGUCCCAUGCCUCCAACAAAUGAAGCUUAUCAUUUAUGACUAGCUAAUAUAAAACCAAUGAUAAUGAACAGCUGCUAUUUUGCCUUUUUCUCUGGCCUUUAAAACACAUGGCAAUGCUUCACAAUUAGAGAGCAAUACCCUUACCUAAAGAAUCUUUGAGGAUUUGAGUUAGCUUGCUAUUUCUGCAAUCAAAAAUGUGAAUUUUAGAAUCUUUCAAAAGAAAGUAUAAGAAGAGAAUACUGAAACUGCUAUCUUGCUUCAAGUAGACCUUAACCAGUGCAUGAUGAGUACGAGUAAAUGGGGACCCACUCCCAGCCAACCAACGAAAAGGAAGAGAUCAUUAAAGAUGAAAAGUAGGGAGAGUAAGACCAAGAACUUGCCUGUAAGGCACAUGGCCCCUCUUCCUCCUAAGAGCAGCAAUAACAUCACCUAAAGCAGAAAGAGAGAGAUUUAUAGCCCGUCCCUCAUCAAGUGUCUGUCCUGUGGCUCCUGUUUUCAACAGUCGUUCACUACCUCCAAGAUCCACCAUCCACAGUUUGCUUACUUCUGCUUUGGCUUUCAAAUUAUCUCCAUGUCGAGAAAUGUUGAUCCUUGUUAAGCUAGAUAUAUAGAACUAAAAAGAUAAUGUAAUCAUCAAACCAGAUUAAGUAAAGAAAGAAGUUCAGAAAAUUAAAAGAGACCCUCAACCCACCAAUGCGACCUGCUUGAUGUCUCGUUCACAUUUGUCCAUGAAGUAGAUCUAGCCCGUCUCCCCUUGGUGUACCACCAUUUUGCUUUUGCUAAAUUUGGAAUCUUGACCUCUGUCAAACCCUCAAUUUCCACCAAUCCCCUUGGAUCUGUUUGGAUGUUGAGAUUGCAUCUUGUUACAGCCUCAUAUGUUCUAGAUGCUGCUUUUGGAGCCAGUAGAUCUCUAAGGUUUCCCAUGUAAACCUCCAACAUGCUCAUGGAAAAUGUUAUAGAAGAUGAGUUGUCUAAACAAGCCUGACAAUAAAGCUCUUCAAGGGCCCGAGGAAUGAUCCCAGGUUGGUCAUUUGUGCCAUCCAUUGUAAAUGUCUUGCCGGUCCCAGUUUGACCAUAAGCCAAUAUACAUACAUUGUAUCCAUCAAGUGCAGAUCUUAGGAUUGGUUCAACCUCAACAAAAACAUCCUCUUGAGUAGCAGCUUGAUGGAAAACCUUAUCAAAUCUGAAUUCCUUCCUACUUCCUACAGAUCUAACUGCAAUCUUCUCUAACUUAAUUGAGACGGGUUCGUGAAUUCUUCUCUUUUCUGUGAGUAGGAAUGGUCUAACUCGGCAAAAUACUCUAAUACAGCCUUUAAUAUCUAAUAUCUUAUUUAAGGCUUCUUUACGCUUUCUGUCUAAUGACUUCUCCUUCUGCCUCAUUUGUGCAAUUUCUCCUUCCAGAUUUGAUAUGGACAUUUCGAACUUGUCCUUUUCGUGCUCAGGGACGACCUUGACAUCAGUAUAAAUAGUGGGAGGUGGCGGCAAAUCCAGCAAGUCAGAUUCCAAUGGCAUCUCCCCUGGGAAAUCCAGGCUUGAUUCCAUUUGAGAUGAUUUUAAGGAUUCGGUUGCAUUGUCUACAGACAAUGAGAUCAGCUCCUCAUUGGAAAUAAACAUUUCUCAGCUAAUAAAACUGGAAAAAGCAGACACUUUUACAAAAGCAGCAAUAUUCAUACAACAACUACACCCCUUUGCUUGGAAAGUACCCUAACAGAAGCAAAGUUGACAAUUGAAGCUAUACAUGCUAAAUUUUGCAACUUUAACACUUAUACUAUAUGGGAAAGAUUUCUUGCGUAGUACUUAAUAAGGAAAAAACAACUAAUCCAUUUCAAGAAGCUGCAACGUUGACAGAACACCAAGAACGGUUCAAAUAUAACUAACAAACCAAGAUGAAAUACAAUGGAGCUGAAUCACCUACGCAGAAAAACACCCAAAAGCACUUUCAUACCAGAACUGAGGUGAAAGACUAUAGAGACCCUGAAAAGCAGUAAAACCCCAAGAUCAUGUGAGCUAAUUUUCAAAAGCAGAGCCAAGAAAUAAGGAAACCCAAAAGACUAGAAGCAAGAAACAAAAAGAAGUCAAAAGCUGAGCACAAUUUUUUCAAAAACCCUAUAAAUCUGAGGAAGCCAAGAGUUUGUUUGCAAUGAUUGAACACUCUUUUAGACUCUGAUUAGGAGAAGAAAGUCUUUUUCUGUACACUGUUUAUUAAGUUGACAGUGGCCAAUGAGAAAAUGAAAAUACACAGUGAAAGAAUCUUAUUCUAAUGGUUGGUCAAGUGCAGUUGAGUUCAGAUCCAUAAAAUUGAACUGUAAAGCAAUAAUUUUUUCAGAGAGGAGCGCAUGGAGCGGAGGGGUAAAGGUGGAAUAAAAGUGGAAAUUUGAUGCUUUUU
rnacentral:misc_RNA from 1 species